UCCCGUCCCGGUUCGGCUGCGGUAGCAGUAAUGUGACGUGGGAGGGGAAAGAAACAGGGUAGAGCCGUGAGGGAAAGGAAAAACUAACUUUUAUGGUGCAAUGUGGCGCAGGGAACUGCUCGCCCUGACCUCGGGAGAUAACGCAUACGGUUCUCCUGACGGGGCGGGCGCACAUCCGGUAUGCCUUAAACUUAUGAGUAAGGAAAAUAACGACCCGGGGUGACGCCCGGGUCCUCACUGCCAAUGUGAGAGGAAUUUUUGCGCGGGUACAGGUCGCCCCCGGGUGGCCCGCUUACUUCGCGGGAUGCCCGGGUGACGUGAUCUGCCCGGACUUCCGUGAUGUGCGUCAUAACGAUAGACUGGGGCACCGGCGCGGUGCUGUAACGCUUGGGCCGACCGUCGCCACCUUGUGACGAUGAACUUAUAACUACUGCGUUAUAACCCGACGUUUGUUGCCUCCAGUCUAUGCGUAUCGCGGCCUGUCUGAGACUGCCCUAAGGGUCUUCACGAGGUUGGGAAAUAGAUCACCAAAGCCUUCCGGAUGUUUCAUCUGUCUGCAGGAAGUUAUUUCAUUUUUUAAUGCUUCUUGUGUGAGGAGCCGUGCUGUUUAAAAUCAGGCAAAGAAAAACCACACCUGCCGGUGGAAGGGCAGAGCCUCCCUGCACAGGCUCGGGCGGACGUGAGCUUUCCAGUGCUUUUCCAGCGGCACCUCCUGCCCUGUCCUGACUCACCGGCUGCGGCAUCCGUACCUGCGGGGCGGUGGCUCUGGGUUUCACCGCAGGCCCGGGUGCUGCUGGGCCUCCCUCACAACGCCCUUUGCAGCACAGCAUACCCCCCAGGGCCCUGCAGCCCCGGGGUUUCUUCCCGUCAUUGGAAGGCACGUUGCCAAAACGCAGGGUUUUGCUUCUGCCCUCGGCUCUGUCUCUCCCCUGGCACCUCUUGGGAGGAUCGGCUGCGUGGUUCCCCUCCGCACCCUCAUCGUUCGCUUCCUACCAUCUCCCCACCACAACACCCUGAGUUUUGGUGACCCUGAGGCAUCCCAGCACACGUCGCUGUGGAGCUGCUGGCCUGCGCACAUUCCACGCAGGAUUUUGGGGAAGGUCCUCGGAAGAAGCUUUUGGCCUUGAGCAGUGCGGGAACUGCCUGUGAGGGCUGGGGAUGAGUGCAGAGGAGGCAGGCACAGUGGAGGUGUCUGCUCACAGCCACGUGAGCUCAGGAUCCCACGGCACAGAUUUUCUCGCAAGAACGUUUCAGGCCUUCAUGAGCCCACAGUCACACCAGCAGCGAUGACAGGUCACUGCUUAGUUGUCCACUGGCACUUGACUUCAACGCUAUCAAAUCAGGGUACACAAUAAUGUACACAUAAUAAUGCCCUUUUGGUCCUGUUCCACUGUCUUCCUGCAGCUUCGAGAUAGUUGAUCAAACUGAGGUGGUGGGGUGGAUGAUGUGUGACAACUUGAAAGCCUGCUGUUGCAAAACUAAUAGGCAACAUUUCUUGGAGCAAAUUUUUGUGAGUAUAAGAGCAGGCCAAGUGGUUCCAGACCAGAGGGCCAUCUACCCCAUAUCCUGUUUCCCACCUGCAAGGACACCCAAUAGAGGGCUCUUCCAGACACCUGUCCAGGUGCUGACUGACCUCAGUGAUACUUGUGCAGCCACAAUGCCCUGUGACAAGGAGUACAACAUGUCCACACUGCUGCAUGGUGAGCCAUGUCCUCCUGUUCGUUAUGUUUCCAUUAGCCUAGUUCUUGCAACUGAAGGUGGAGAGUGCAUGUGUAGCUGCUACCCUGCCUCUUCCACCUGUCAUCCCCUAAGUCAUCUUCUCUCCAGGUGAAGAGUCCAGGUCUGCUCACCCAUUCAUUCAGUGAAGCUCCCUUCCCUCUGCAGGGAUUUCCCAUCCCACACGGAAUUCCUGGUUAGGGAGGCUGGUUAGGGGAGCAUGAGCUGUGCUUUUGUGGGAAGGACGGGUUUAAACCUCAGGAUCUUCCAUUCCCUCUCUUUACGAUUGUUUUACUUUUCCUGUGAAACAUGACAAGCUGCAGCUCAGCUUUCAUAAGUCUCCCAGUUUCUCCUCACAGCUGUGAAUGUGAAGUCAAAUGUUUGCUCAGGGACCAUCCCUGAGCCUCUGCUUCCUUUCUCGUGGCUGGGAGAGGGAGAGAAGGUGUAAGCAGCAGCAAAGAGAUCUUUCUGAGCACAGGGGUUCCCUGCAAGGAGGUCCUUGUCCAAAAGCACUGGGAAACUUUCAGGCCUGCCCUUGCUUUUUCGGAGGUGGAUUUCUUGAGCACAUCUCCCUUGUCAGCUGAGACCCAGGGCACAGAAGUCAGAGCAGCGGAGACUGUUUCCCUGCUUCACACCAAUUUCCUUCUUUAAAUACUAAUUAGGAAAUUAUGCGAAGGACAUCAUAUUAACCUUGGGGUAGUACGUGGCACAGUGUCCAAUUUACAAUGUUGCCCCAUUGAGUCUUACAGAGGCAGAUGAAGCAGCUAAAAGCAGAACGACAUGGCCAGAGAAAAUGUCUGAUAAGUUGCUGUGGAGCAAGACCACAUCAUUACUCAGUCCAGAUAAAGUCCAUCUGUCAUGAUGACCGACCGCAGUGUUAGGUGUGUUUCCUUCCUCUUCAAAGGACAGAAACCCACAUGCCCCAUGUAUCAAAGCCAAAUAACCUUUCCAGCUAACUUCAGUUAGGAAAGCUUCUAACCAUCUAAGCUAUUAGAAACCUUAAUUCUUCUCCAUUAAUUAUAACAAAACUAUUACAAAUUUAGUAUGUAGGCAGUACACUCCUCCUUGAUUGCAUGAAUACCGUCACGAUAAUCGUUACCUUGACACAGAAACAUUUUGUAUGAAAACGAUUAAACAAUUUUGUAAUAAAACUCAAGGGGGAAUUAGCUGCUGUAGCAGUAACUUUUCUAUGUCGGGUUUUGUACACUAAGUAGAAUCCUAAUAAUUACAACAGUAAUCUCCUGACUUAUAUAUUCCUUUUUUGUUCAGAUCAAAGACAUAAAGACAUUAACAUUUUUGAAGGUUAUGCCAGAAAUGUUGGUUAACCUGAGUUCUGUUUGAGCUGUAUUUCUCGUUUAUGUCUAUAAACUGAGAUUUUUGUUACUCUGUUAAUUAUUUAUUAAGACGCAUAUUUCCUACAGGAACAAUUUUCAUUUUUAAAAAUAAGAACAGAAAGAGAAAAAAAGACCAAUUUGGGAUUUAGCUUGGACUUAAACAAUUGCAGAAAUGAUGGGAUAUUCUUAUUGUGGUAAAAUUUUAAAUUAUUAGCAAAUACAUAGGACUGGACAUUUUCUCUUCUAAUUUCUUCACUGGAGCACCUCAGUUAUUUGUGUUGGAUGUAACCCAGAAAAGAACAGGGCCUGUUGUGGUGUUGUUGCUUUUUUGUCCGUGUUUGAGGUGGGUGUUGCAGCAGGACAGGCCAAUUCUUGGAGCCUGGCUGUUGGCUGCCAGGGCGUUCACUUGUCCUGCCCGGCCAGGGGAGGCAUGCGCUCGCUUCCUUGUACGCUGCCCAUGUAUCCGACAGCCAGUCAUGGUAAUGCGUUCGUCCUGGCAUCAAACACUGGCACUGCUACUGUGAGCCUCUCACUAAGUAUUUUUAAAUUCCAGGCUUUCUUACUGCUUAAGCUUAUGUUUUUCAAAAUUAUGUGGUGAGUUACUUGACACACCUAUUCAAAGGAAAGCUAGUUUUGCUUUCUAGUGCUGUUCUUUUACUUUCAGUUUCAGUUGACAUUUCUGCAACAAGCAACCCUUUUGAUUUCUUUAGUAAUGUUCAGACUAUGCUCUUGAGCUAAAUACAAUUUUCCUUUUAGCCUAGAUUUUAAAUCCUUUGUGGUGGGCUACAGGAAUGGUAGGAAAUGGAAUGAGGUUCCCAAACAAGCUUGGCAAAUUGAAGAACUGUCAGAGAAGAUAAGGUGCCUCUCAGUUAGGACAGACGUAAAAGGCUGUAUCCUGAAUCUCGGGUGUACUGGUGUGUCUGAGAAGAGGAAUUUCUGCAUGGAGAUACCUCCCAUAACACAGAUACCCACCACCCAUUUCAUUUUUCAGAAGCUGGGAAAAGACCAUAUUUGUUCUUGAUAACCUGUUGGUUAUUGGUUGUUCAUCAUUUAAACCAUAGUGGGUUGGGGGUUCUUUUUGGUGAAUAUUUAUUCUACAGUCUAGUUGUAGAUGGGACCCUUCUCACCUUACGGUAGUUCCCUGGCCAUAAUUGCGGGCCUUUUUUCACUUGACGGUGUUUGCACCCUCUUAGUUGUUUCCAGCUACCAGCACCCACUGUCAGUGCCUGCAGCAGCUGCCCACCAAGCAGGAAGCAUCUCACCAGUCUGCCAUGAAUUCCCUGAAUGGAGACAUGCUCAGUUACACUAACCACAUGCACUGCCUGCCCCUAGAGAAGUACAAGUUCUCUUGAUAACCAGAGGGUCAUGCUGAAGCUCCCACUUGCUGGUACCAGGCAACUUCCCUUACCUUUACCUUCUAAAGCCUGUUGAAGAUGAAAUGUCAAUGUGCUGCUCACCUUAGUCUGCAACACCUUACAAGGUCCAGUGUCUGGGAACCUUUGCCUUACAGCAGCCCAAGUCUCAAAAUUGAGCCACUCUGGAAGAAAGCUCCAAGGUUUCAGGAAGUGUGAGUAUUCUGCCACUACCAGGCUACGCGUGACUGCACACCUGCCAACCCUUCAUGACCCCACAGAUACUCCAGCCAUCAUCAGAAACUUUAAAAUAUCACAGCCUGUCUUCAAGGAAAUCCCAACAAGAAAGCCUGUUCUCCACAAAGCUGUUCAGGAAGGGUAUGAAAAUCCAGCUAUACUAUUUGAAGUUUGUUCACUCCUGGCCUUAGACACAGAGAAUUACUUAUGUUGGCAUUUUAUCCCCAAGAUGCUAUUAUUUAGGCUGUUAUUUCUUUUUCUUUCCUCCUGAUUAACAGCUUCCCUUCUUCUUGCCAGUAUCCCAGCCACUAUGCCUUCCCUCAGUGCCUGCCUAGCUCAUAAGAGGGCAGUUUUCACAAUGAAAACCCAGGACUGCCUCUGCACACCUACCCAAAGUGUCCUCAGAGCUGCUUUUACCACUUCCCUUUCAUAUUAGGCCAGGUGCCUUUAU